CAUCUGUCUACUUUUGCCAUCGAGCCUGGGGAACAGCAGCUGACAAAGCUGCAACAUCAUUUUAAAUAUAUUAAUUGGCUAGAAAAAAUAAUCUAUCAGUAGACUGCUGGCUGGUGAGCACAAGGCAAAACUGAAGGAAAAAUAAGCUGCACUCGUUCUAAUCUAACCGCAUCCCAUAUUUGCUCAGCCUUUUCCUCAAGGAGAGCCUCAUUUCCUGGCACUUACACACUGCAGAGUCUAAACUAAAUACCACACAAAUCUUUCUUUAAGGAGACCAAUUUGGAAAUGGUCAUUCCUAACCGGAAGACAUAAAACUAAGU